rnacentral:sRNA from 1 species
GACCAGCGGCCGGAAGAUGCAUAAGCAA